rnacentral:lncRNA from 1 species
UCAGAUUAUUUUUUGGAACAUAAAACUGUUUUUCAUUAAUUCAAAAUGUAUUUUUUAUUUUUAUAAUCAUAAUAAAUAAGUUUGAGUUUUUAGAAAAUUAAUAUUUUUUUUUAAAUUAUAUUAGAACUGUAUUAGAAUUGUCAGAAAUUUAAUAAAUAAUUUUGAAUUGCACACUUCACGAACACGUAUGAGUGUCGUGUUCAAUAUGAAUAUCCACCGCGUAAUUUAAUAGAAGUUUGUGAGAUUCAGUAAUAAUUUUUUUUUUUUAGUGAUUGAUUUAGAGCAUUAUGUUGUUUAUUAUAUAUUUUAUUUAUUUUUAUCAUUAUGUUAUUUUUUAUAUUUUUAUUUAUGGUAUUGAGUAUAAAAUAUCAUUGAUGAUAACAAUAAUAGGGUUAGGUGAAUCGUAAUUGUGAAAGUAAGAGCAUAAAAUAUAGUAUUAGAUGAUGAACAGAUUACAUUACUGAAUCCCACUGGUCUUAGAAAAAGAUCUGUAGAAUAGGAGAUAAACAAACAAACAAAGAUUUAUUCUGAAACACAAGUACUUAACUUAACUCAACAACACAGCUAUAGAAAGAUGAUACAUAAAUCAUCUUCUAUAUAUGGAGAUUGAAGUUUUAACAGUGUUUGGUGCAGAAGCAUCUACGACGGAAGCCACGGCAGUGUCCUCCGCUGAAACGUUCAGUUCGGCAGACAGAAGCACAGUUGGUGUCACUCACACAUGGUCCCUUGAAACGGUGGCUCUGAGACUCACAAGUUCUUGCCUCCGCCACCAUUCUUGGUCCCAUCUCUGCUCAACACAUUAUGCAACACAACUUAUAGACAAGAUCACAAUAAAGAAAACCCUAAAAUGGAAGUAUUGAGCAUGGAGAAAAGCUUACCAGUGGCGAGAAGAAGCAGAAGAAAGACGAAGAUGGUUGAGACAAAAGACACAGAGCGAGCCAUGGAUGAGAGAGUGAGCAAGUUUGAAGAACAACUGAAGAAGCUGGGGUUGAUAGCGAAAUGCAAUGGAGCUGCUUUGCCUUAAAUAGAGAUCAUCAAGGUAAAAACAUGUGGUAAUAUUUCUUACUUACAUUAAAUUACUUAAUCAAUUAUUUAGUAAUUUUAAUUGCAUCUUUUAAUUCAUUCUUCAACUUUUAUUUUAUUAUUUUUUAAUUAUUAUUUUUUAAUUAAUUGUACAAAAAGUGUAUUCUAGCCACUUUUGAGAACUCGUGAAAAUAUAGCAAGAUUGAGUGAAUCUAUAAAGUUUAGAGUAAUAAAAAAUGUAAAAAAAAAAAAUACUGAAUUUAAAUAGUUUUUUAAUUGAAUUUUAUACCGGGAAUUUAAAAUUUCUGAAGAACUAGUUAAAGAUAAUAAAUUUCGAUAUUCAACUUAAACAAGUUAAAAAUUAUAAAAUAGUUACUAAAUAAGGAGUUUAACUAUGACAAUGAAUAUAAAAAUGAAAAGAAAAUAAUUUAUACUUUCGAGUCCUGAAUUAUAUAAUGAAAAGAAAAUAAUGUUUUCUGGUUUGCAUUAAGACCCUGUUUGUUUUAAAAUGCUUUAGGAGAAAAAGAUGAUUAUUUGUGAAAUGAAUGAUCGAGAAAAAGGUGAGGAAGCAUCAUUAUUGAGAAGCGGUGGUGAUGAGAGAGGCUUUAUCGCUUUGAGACAAUCUUUAUGACAAACACGGUGUCGACCUUCAGCUUUUCCAUUUUCACGUUUUUUUAACAUUUCAGAACUCAUCACUACACGUAAGCGCGUUUCCUUCUUUGCUCAUUCUGUAUCACAUGGGCUGGUAAGUGGGUCCCUUCGCUCGUACCAAACAGGACCUUUCGCUCACUUUUUUAUUUACUUUUUUUCAUUUCUUUGAAUUUGGUUGUAGAGUAUUACGUAUUCAUAUUUCUUUAAACAUCACUUUUUGUAAAGAGGGAAUAGACAGAAGAAAUAGAAAAUAUGGGGAUGGAAUUAAGAGAAUUAUUAUUAUUUUUUUCGGUUGGUCGAUCGAAUUAUUUUAUUUUAUUAUUUUAACGAUUUUCUCGUACUUAUCUUGUUUAUCUGUUUUUCGUUUUUUUAAAUUCUAUACUUUGAUAAUACUUAUAAAAGACAUUCUUACAUUAAAGUAAGACUACUCGGUGUUAUUAGUACUGGAUGAUGAAGUACUUGAUUCUUGAAAUCUGUAUCUACUUAUAUGAUUAUCAUGGAUAUUUUAUUGGACCGGAUUAAGGAUUUGAAUCAUAGUUAAGAAUGUAUUACAUAAUAUUUCAUCAUUAAUUAGUCUAAUUAAUCAUCUGUUUGGAUGGUUUAGGUUGCGUCGAUCGUUCUUGACAGGUACUAAACUUUCAGGUGUCGUUCGUACCGACCAGUACAAUAUCAAAUGAUAAAAAAAUAUUUCAUUUAUUAUUAUUAUUUAUUAAUAUUAACAUUUCUUUAACUAUUUACUAUCAUUAUAAAAGAUAAAAAGUUGUAAAAAAUAAAAAAAAAACACACCUUUAAUUUGAUUGUAAGUAUCACAUAAUCCACUAUGGUUAUAAAAAUAAUUUACUUCUCCCUCUUUAAAUAUGUAUUUAUUUAUUUUAUAUGUGGAUUUAUAUCUCUUAUUUAUUUAUGCAAUUGUUUUCUAUUAAUAUUUUAAUUGGAUUUUUUUCAUGUUCAUUACGUUAAUUUGGUAUGAUAAUAAUUAUAUAAAAAUUAGUUGUACCUCUUGGUGAGGACUAUAAAAAAAUAGAUUAUAUGAUGCUAAUAAGUUGUAUAUAAAAAUGAAUUAUAUUUUCUAAUUUUUUUCCGGAAAUCCUUCCUGAAGAGGUUUAUAUAUUUGUUAAACUUUAAUGUUAAUCAUUUUUAAGUUGAAAUCUAAUAUAAUCUUAAAGUGUAUAACUUAUUUAGUAAUCACCUAUUAUUAGACUCGUCGGUUCAAUAUAUAUAUAUAUAUAUAUAUAUGAUGAAAUAUGGAAAAGUUACUUGAAGAUAAGUUUUAUUCACAAUUUUGUAAAGUAAAUUAUUAGUUUAGUAUAAUAUGUUAUUUGUACUACGUUAAUAAUGAAUAAUUUUUGUUUUGUUAGUCUCACCCAAUAAAGAUUACUUAUUAUUUUAUAAAUUUAUUUUGAUUAUCAUUAUUAUUUAUUUAUUAUUAUUAAUAUUCUUAAUUUUUAAUAGUGUUCAUAGUACGAAAUCAGUGUGAACCACCCUACACCCUAUAUUAUUUCACCAAUCCAAUGAAUUGUCAUUAAUAAUAUUGCAACACAUUAUCUAACUUAAUGGAGAAAAAAAGAAAGAGAUAAAGAAAGGUUAUGUCAUGUUUGGAAUGCUGUAAAAGAAGUUCGCAGAGCUUCAUGACAGAACUUGUCACAUUAUACGAGAUUUGCUUAAUACUGAAAUAGUUCAUGCUAAUUACUUAUCUUGAAAACAAAAUAAAAAACAAUCAUAUAGAUAAAUAAAAUAAAUAGGGUAUGUUAGUAAUUUUUAGAAUUUUUAAUAUAAAUAUAACUUUAAAUUACAAAUAUAAAAUUCAUUCUUUUUCAUACAUUUUUACAAAAUCGUUUAUAGUAAUUUAUAAUACAUAUUACUCAUCAAAAAUUCACUAAUUAACCUACACAAACACUUGAUUUUUUCUAAGUUUAUAGUAAUUUAUAAUACAUAUUACUUAGAUCAGAAAUUCACUAAUUAACCUACACAAACACUUUAUUCUUUCUAAGUUUAUAGUAAUUUAUAAUACAUAUUACUCAUGUUAGAAAUUCACUAAUUAACAUACACAAACACUUGAUUCUACUUCUAAAAGAUUUAUGCAUGGAUUUAAACUCAAAUAUAUGUAUCUAUCAUAUUACUUGACUAUGAAAUUUACACAAUAAUGCGCAUAAUAAUCUUAAUAUCAAUUCAUCUCAUAUGACAUGGUUAAUUCAUACAACAGACCAAACCAGUUAUUUUUCAAACUGUAAACUCAUUCAUACGAAUAUCUUUCGACUCUCAUCACCUAAUAAUCUUCAUAUGUAUGAUUCUAAUAUAUCAGUAGAGUCAUGAUAUCUCAUUCUAAAUGAAUCAUUAGUGAAUUCACAUUUUUAUUUUUUUCAACUUUGAGAAAAUCUUUCGAAAUAUUUUCUAAGAAAUUUUCAACUUUUUAAUGUUGUAUCAUAUUGAAGGAUAUUUAACUUUGUAUCAUCUUAAACAACUCCGAUAACGAAGUGUUGGAUAUGUAUUUUUUUUCCAAGUUUAAUUGGGUUUUUCAUAUUAGGAUGUUUAAGAUAAGAAGCUUAUAUGACUAUUUUAAAAGUAACUUUUUCUUUUAAAAAGUGUGUGUGUGUGUUAAAUCCAUGGAUGAAAUAUAAGAUGAAUGAAUGAAAGUUGGAAGUAUUAUUAGUAUUAGCAAUUUUGGGGAACACAUGUCCCUCUUUUAGAUUUGUGUAUCUUGCUUUACCACUCAGUGGAAGGAUGUGGUACGAAUUUGCGGAAAAAAGGUGUCAUCACUCAUUAUUACAAAGAAUGAAUGUGUACACAAAAGUGAAAGAGAAGGAGAUUAUUUCAGAGCAAAUAUUUGUUGAAUAUGCAGUAAAUUAUAUAUAUAGAUAGAUUUUUAUUCUAGUUACUAUUUGUAUACUCUUUUUUUUUCUUAUAGUAAAUUAGCUAUUGUUGUAUUUCGAAUUAAGAAAAUGAUUUUGUUGAUUUUAAGAAAAAAGUAAUGUUUGAUUUGUAUAUUUUAAUAUGAAAUUAAAAUUGUGUUAGUAAGAAAAUCACGUUUUGACAUGGAGAAUUUUCGUAUUGAUUGAAUAUGAGUACGAAUAAUAUCCAAUUUUGUAUAUAAGAUAUGGGAAGAGGUACGAGUAUAGGUAUGUACAUAUUUGUCUCAUCUCUAACCUCAUAUACAUGUCUUGGUUUUAAAUUAUUAAACUUGUUUUAGUUUAUUAGGUAAUAUAAAAACUUAUUUCAUGUUUUCUUUUUGGUUCUAACUUUCACUCUCAUCUAGAUGACUCUUUUUCACUACACUUUUUUUUUUAUAAGUUCAUUCAGAUCCUCAAUAUAUUUUUUCUCUUAUCACAACCUUUGAUUACACACUUUUUCAUUUGUGAGAUUUCGUUUAUAAGGUGUAUUACAUUUUAGGAAGGACAAACAUCAAUUACAUUCAAUGAAACUAGGCAUACAUUUGAUUAUUUUCACUUUUUUAAAUAUUUUUUAUUUAUUGGUUAUUUUUGUCACAUGUGAACAUCCUACCCUCAAUUUUAAGUGUUGGGUAGUAUAAAGUUAGUUUAUUAUGUAACAUACAAAACUUAACGUCUUUGUGCUCUUUGUCUUUAAUUUUGUUUCAUUUAUAAAACCUUAUUUAUAGAACUUUUCUUUUGCUACAAAAUUUUUCAUAAAAACCCUCUUUUGAUUUUUUAUCAAAAUCUCAAUGUGAAUGUUUGUUCGUAAUUUUGACUAUAUAUGAAACUAUUAAUUGAGCUUUUAGAUAAGUGAUAUAUAAGGUUCGAACACAUCUCUUAAAAUAUCGUACACAUGUAUCGGACAUUGACACUCGUACGAUAUUUGUAGGACACAUAUUAGUGAAACGUCCUAUUAAAAGAAUAUUUGUUGGAUUUCUGACAAUUCUAACACAAUUUUAAAACUGAGUAAAAAAUUAUUAUAAAUUUUUUUAUUAUGAUUAUAAAAAUAAGAAACAAAUCAUUUUGAACCAGUCAAAACAAACAUCUGCUCCAAAAAAACCAAAACAUACUUGUACACAUAAAUCUUUAUUGUCAAUUUAUAUAAUUCAUAUUUAUUUUAUAUAUAAAAUUAUGUUUCUAUGUUCUAUAUUUUAAAAAUUGUAUACAUAUAUCUAUAUCAGUGCAUCUGUGUUGUGUAUCGUAUCAGUAGUCAGUGAUCCUUAUCGAAACUGCAGUAGAUUUUAGAAAAAUGUACACCUGUGUUCAUCAUUUCAUAUAAAAUUUAGAAUUCUCUUGUUGGAAAUAAUUUUCUGACACAAAAACUUCAAUAAUUUUGAAACAAAAUAGCAACUAGUGUCAGUAUUUUCUCUUGGUUCUUGAAUCGAAUUGCUGGAUUCUUAUCCAAGAAACAUUUAUGUGACAGAUCAUUGACUUUACUAACAUUAGAGCUUCAUCAAUACCCGUGUCAGUUUUCCAGUUAAAAACAAGCUUACCGUUAAUUUACUAACCAAUAACAUUUUACUAAACAAAAAAACACAAGGCUAUAGGAGAGAAUAUUAACAAGGUUAAUAUAUUUCCAUUAACUUCGUUUAACCCAUCAUUCGAUUCGUGGUAUACACAAAGAGUUAAUAACCUUUUCUUUGAACAUAAAGAUCCUCAUAAAAAGAUGAAAAAGGGGAUCAUAUUGAUGGGAAUCACCAAUCUGAAGUUCUCAGUCUCCAAUUUAACCCGGUAAUGAACACGAACUCAAUCCCAUGUCACCGAAAUCAUAGAGUUGGCAAGGCCUGAAUCCUGGAAGGUUGAAUUACUUUCAUAGUCCAGAUUUUUAGAUGCUCCGGGAAUUGCAUGAGUUAGUCUAAAUGGCUUUGUUUCAUCCUCCCCUAGUUGGGUGGAAAUAAAAGACCACAGCAGCUUCAAGAAAAACAAAGAAAAUCAAAACCAGACAAAUAAACUAACAAAAAACACAAUCAACUUGCAUCCCAAAAGGCAAAGAUCCUUUCAUACAAAUCUCCACACAACACUAAUACUUAUUCUGAAUAAUGGGUGGUGUAAGAAAUUCAGGAAUUCAACUGAGGGUCAAUAACUCUGUUCUCCAAAUUAACAAGAAAAUAAGCUUGCAAUUUAAACCAGGGUACAUAAUUAUUAUCAUUAACUUUGCAGUAUCCAGCAGUCAUCAAAUAAAACGUAACAAUUAACAGUACUACUGUACUACAAUACAUAAUUAACUCAUGUUUGAGUAAGAGUGUCCAUGAUAAAUUUAAUAAUUAAAAUAUUUCCCUUUGCCAUACACCCAUAUCAUAUACAUCCAUAACAAUCAUAAUUUCAAGAACAAUGUAGCAAUAUCGAAAGACAUGCAGAUAUAAAUAAUAUCCAGUAGUCUUUGAAGGGGAUAAAGAAUGUACAGCAUCCAGAAAUCAUAUUAAAUUGGCAGAAGAUCAUCUUUAAGAAAAAUGAGAACAUUAGGUUGGAUGAAUUCCUAUAGGUAUGAGAGCAACAUCUGUUACCUGAAUUGGAUCCGUGCGUAAGAAAUUACGCUGAACACGUUGACCACCUGGAAGCCGCACACCAACUCUGCAGAGGAGAUUUCUUUCAGCCUUGGGUUCUUCAGGCAGGGGUGGAUAUGUGGGCCUCUUAGCCAAUUUUGUUUCUUGCCCGUUGACUGCAACAUCAGCAUCUUUAUUGUCUCCACCACCAGCCAUAGCAGUUGAUUCUUUCAUGCUUUCCAUAGAAGCUGCCAGAGCUCGUUGAACUUCCUCAUCCUCCUCUUUAUUUUCAUUUGAUUCUACCAAGGCUAUAACAUCAAACAACAUGAUGAUGAAAAAAUUAAAAAAGACGGUUUCAUCAUUAGAAAUGUAAGGUAGACAUAUCUCUAUACUAAAAUAUAAACCUUGAUUAUCUUUGUUUUUCAUCUAUUCCCAUUUUGAUAAAAUCAGCAUAUCAUAAUCCCAGAUUUCAGAUCCUUAUCACUUAUUAUUUUCUUAGAAUAUUUGUUAGUUAUGAUUCUAUUAAUUAGGGGUUUCUUUAUUUUUUUAUUAGCAUAAUUGUUAGAUAUGAUAAUACUGACAAAGGAUCUCUUUAUUAUUAAUUAGGAUAUUUUUUAGUUAUGAUCCUAUUAAUUAGGGUUAUCAUUGUAGCCUUUUUUCAAAGACAUUUAUUUGGAAUGAUAAUAGCUAAUAACAGAUAGCUGCAGAGUUUUCACCCACAAAAACAUUAUAGCAUGAUAGCAGAGUGCGAGAUAACCACUCUAUUUAAUGUUAUAAUAAUACUAUUAAAAUUUAUAAUAAAUAUUCUACCAUUAAAAUGUAGCAUAAAUCACACUCAUAGCCAGUGAGGUUUUUUCGAAUGACACUAACACCCCAGUUCUUUAAAAACUUUACUCAAACCUCCCCUUUGUUUUAAAAACAUUACAUUUGCCCCCCUUUUUACAGUAAACAUGUACCCCCAUGCAAUCCCAUUUUACAUUUCAUAAUGACAAAAGUCGGGGGUCUCUGUGAUUUACUCAAAUUAUAUUCAAUAUUCUGCUGUUAGAAAAUCAUAUAUGAAUAAAAAAAAGGUUCAAUAGUCCAAAGUUGAAACAUGGUCUUUGUUUGGAACCACCAUUGGCUUGGCAGACUCCGACCAGUGCUAUAUAUUUAAAUAAAUUUAUAAAAAAGUGCAUUGACACAGUGGUUGCCUUGACUAAUGUUUGUACAUGCCCUAUAUUUGACCCUUCCCAACCUAGCUUUGUAAGCUAUUUAGAAAUUACAUGCCCAAUCCCACAUCACUCAAGCCCAAUAAGCCAUCAUAAACCUAAAUCUCAUCUACAUACAAAUGUGAUGAGCCACCACAAGCCCUCACAUACACACAAGCAUAGUUUAAUUUUUCCUCUCUCUUCUCUCUUUCUUUUUCUCUCUUCUUAUGCUCCCUCUACGCUACAACAAACUUUAAGAGACAACUACUUUUUUUUUGUGCCAAUAAAGGUAUUUCUAGUGCGACCGAAUUCACUGAUUUUGUCCAGUCUAAUCUGAUUCAGAUCCAGUUCAAUGACAUUGACACCAGUUCGAGAGCAGGUCCAAUCUUGUGACUUGAUCCAACUGACCACAAGUUCGGUUUAUAAUCAAAUCAGCCAAUCCAAGAAAGUUUAAUAACACUACUUGAAACUAAACAAGCAUAGACUGGGAUUAUAAUAGGCUGGUGAGUAUAGAACAGAGUUGCAUAGACACCAGUUUGAGAACAGAUCCAAUAUUAUGACUGACUGAACUGGUCACAAGUUUGGUUUAUGGUCAAACCAACCAGCCAAUCUGACCUGAGUUUAAUAACACUACAUGAAACUGAACAAAAAGUGUAUGCGUACGUACCUAUGGUGUUUCCUUCUUUUCCAUCCUGAUUAUAUUAUUUAAGAUUGGGUUUAUGAUUGGUUGGUGAGUAUAGCACAGAUUUGAUGUUCAAAAAACAAACAGGAAUACUUAGGAACGCAUUGGUGUGCUAGAACUUGUUAACAUCAAGUCAUCUAACACCAAACAAACACCUAGAAUAUAGACAGAGACUAGCAAAAAACCUUUAGGUUUUGGUGGGCUAGAACUUCCUCUAGGACGCUUGUGAGACAAUGUAAUAUGAUGAUCCUUAGGCCCUGCAUCAAGGAAUGCUAGUAGACCCUGCAUCAGUAAGUUAAAAAAUAACCUAGUUCAGGAUUUAUUUAUGAAUAAUGUUUCAAUUUCUCAAUAAAAAAUGUCUUGAUCAUAGCAAGUUAAAAAAACUGUAUCACAUACUUCCAAUAAGCUUUCGGGUGGAACCAUUCCAAUCCAAGAGCGCAUCUUUUGGCCAGUGAUGGGGUCAAUAACAAGUACAACAGGAAUUGAAUCCAGUCGGUAAUAAGUGCAGACUUUUCUGCCUUCAGUUGUAUCAUCAUAUACCUAUAUGCAAAAACAAUAAUUGACAAUGAAAAAUUGUAUAUAAUACAAAAAAAAUACAACAAAUGUACGUGUUUAAUAUCAGCAACAAAUACUUUUGAAAAUAUCACCAUAAACCCAAAUGCAAGCAGCAACCACUCUUAAAGAAUUGGAACUAUAGAGGACUUAAAACAGCUACCACAGGGGGAAAGCAGUUGCCAUUCACUGGUUAGAGCAAGUUUACAUAAGCAAAAUUGCCAAGAGUACAAGAUUUGAGAAGGACAAGAAAGAAGACUUAAGUAAUGGAUGCUCCUAAAUUAAAGAAAGUAUUAUUUCAAUCAUCCAACCCGAUCCCAUAAAGUAUCAACCUGAUGAUUCUCCCACCAAAAGCAAUUGUUACACUUACACACACACACACAUCAUCACAAUAUCUAAACACAUAUAUAAUAAUUCAUUCACUUUUAUUUUUAAAUCCAAUGGAUCAUAUUUUUUUGUUUCAAGGACAUGAUCCAUGCAAUAUCCCAAAGCUAACAACCAAGGACUGAUCUAAUUAAUACUUAAUGGAUCAAAGUCAAUUCAUCAUAAAUUUUUUCAUAUUUAAUUUUUUUAGUAUUCUCUCCUCGCCCAUUCUCUCUCAAUGGAUUGGAAUUGGAUCUAUCAAGUCCAAAAUUCAAAAUUCUUAAUAAAAAAAUUGUAUUUAAAAACUCUAAGAGAUAAAUAAUAUUUUCUAACAAAUUAAAAAUGUCAUUAAAAUAAUAGACACACAUUCAAUGUUGUUUUCACUCAAAACAUGAUUUAAGAUCAAAUACAAGCAUACAAAAUUACUGAUAAAGAAAGUUUCACCAAAUUAAGUUGAACAAGAAAACACUCAUUGAACAUAAACAAACAGACUGGGUUAUUUACUUUAGUUACUACUUGCACCAGAAAAAAUCAAUAGUGUUUGAAGUGAAACUAAAAUUUUAUUUAGAAAUAUCUGAAGUCUUAUACCAUGUGGAAAGAUUGAAUUAUUAACAAUGAAUCUUGUACUACAGAUAGAUCACAGAUUCACAAUUUCAAUAUUUAAACAAUUAUUCUAGUUCAUUCAUCCUAAAUCCUCCUUCGGCUUUCAGCUAGCUAUAAUCUUUUAAUCAACCAACGAAUUGAACCCAUGGUAUAUUGAAAGAACAAUUGGAGUUUGCUUUCAACUUUCAAAAACUAUGAUAUUUUAAUUUGUCAAAAAGUAUUUUUUUAUCUCUUAGUUUUCAAAUAGUAUUUAUUUUAUCAAGAAUUUUCGACCACCUAAAUCCAAUUCCAAUUCAUUAACAGAAAGGGGAGAGGGAAAUGGGGGGCAGGGAAUAGAGAAAGAAGAGAAUAUUUAACAAAUAAAUUUAUUUCAUUUUUAAAAUAUAUUAUUUUAUUGGAUGCCCAUCCAUUAAAAAUUAUAAUGGAUGGAUUGCAUUGGAUUUUAUUAGAUGGAUCAUGGAUGGAUUGGAAUUGUUAGUGGAACAAAAUAAAUUAUUUGUAUCCGAUCUGUAAUGAUCUGGCUAAGAAUUGAUUUGAUUCAUCCAUUUUAUCAUCCAUACAGAUAGAAAAUAUUAUGAAUCAAGAGGCAUAGACAAAUUCCAGUUACUGUAAACCUAAUUUAACUGGGUCUCACUGACUCAAGUGCUCUAUACUUUAAUUGAAAGCUGCUGUCUAAACUACCAACUAAAUGUAAAUGUCCAUCAAACUAAUAAUAGACACAGUUAAGAGAAAGAUAUACAUAAAAUUUAACUAAACACAAGAGAAAAUGUAAUCUGACAUGAGCCCAUUUUGAAGUCCAAAUAUCAAAAUCCUCCAAACUUCAUAAUUAAUUUAAUUAAUCUGAGUGAAUUUGUUCUUUUAUCCAAAAAUUACAAUAAGACAUGGUUAAGCUUAACCGCAUACCGUUAGAGUGCCAUUCUGUGUAUUAUGGGCAAGAUAAUAUCCAGAAACUUUUUUGAAGAAAUUUGAGAAAUUAUACGUACUCUUAUAUAAAUGCCAGGUAAAUAACAUUUUGAAAAUAGAAAAAAAAUUAACCACCAGUGUUCAAGUCAACAGAGUAGGAAACUGACCUGCCAGAAUAUACAGUUUGUACUAAUAGUCUGAGAAACAGCUUCAUUGGCCCAUGUAUCACGAUUUAGCUUCACAAAGUGAUCAUGAUAUUAGUGCCAAUGCUGAAACAGAUCAAGAGAAAUGAAAAUGGAAAACCAAGAAAAUAGUACCAUAUGGGAGCUGAAUUCCUUGGUAGAUUGUAUGUUCACCAACAACCAUUUGUUCUGCACGGAAGCAGCAUCUUUUGCCUGCAUACAAAGGCCAAAUGUUUAGUCACAACGUAUACCAUUUACAUUUACAUUUCAAAAUAUAUGCACUGCUCAUCUAGACGGACCUGCUACAACUUUUAGGCAAAAAUUCCCAUAAACUAUGGAGAUGGAAAUGAUUGUAAUCCAAAUGAGUUUAGGGCAUCAACUUGUACUAUUAACAGACAGAUGAAAAAGAAAAAAAAAGGAAGUGGCAACUUAAGCACUCUAUCAUGUAUGCAAAACAGAAAUAAUCUAUAUCUUAUUAGAGAUCUCACUAUGAUAGACCAAUUCCUGAAAUAGGUAGGUAUUAGCCAGUUCUAAUUUUGUACAAGUUAUUAAGCAAUUAUUUUUACAUUAAUUUCAUAUUAGGCAGUAUAUGUCUGAUAUGACAGUUACAGUGAUUUAUAGGUUCUGUGACUGACUUGUAGAAGACAAUUACAGUGUUGAAUUGUUAUCCCUUGUCUGUAAGGAAUGAUGAAACUCUUUCUUAGGAGCAAUGUUAUCAAAAUCGCAAGUAUACUUGCAAACUCACACAAUCUAUGAGUACGGAAGACCAAAGAGAGAACAAGUGCAAAGCAGAACAUGAAGGUCACGGAUCGUUGCAAGAUUGCAACUUCGCUCAUGAAAUCAGCAGAUCAUGCAUCAUGUCAAUCCUGAAAGCGUUCAUGCAGACUCAGACUUUGUUGCCCAGUUCUAGUUCCCAACUCCUGUAGUUGGCUUUCCAGUUUGGGUUAUAAUGACCCAAUUUAAAAAAAUAUAAAAUAUGACCCUUGGAUUACCAAUUGCAAAUCAGAAUCAAACAUCCUACUCUGUUCCACUAUGCUCAUCAACGACAGGUUGUCACUGACCAUAGCAGCGUACCAUAGUCAUCUCUGGCCCUUGUAACACUCGUGUCUCAGUAGUUGCCAGCCAUCACAACUAGCACUGACGCUUGCAUCACCGUAGACAAGGUUCACAUCACCAUCGCUGGCACCAACUCUUGGGGGUGCCAUUUUUUCUUGUUGCUUUGGCUGUUCAGAGUUUUUCUUCUCAGAGAUACUUAUUUUAUUAUUUUAGUUAACCAUCACAAUUUAAAAGACAUUUCUUCUCAGUGUUUGUUCUAUAAUUUUUCUUCUGAAUAUUUUCUCUUAUUCUUGCUUCCAUUUAGAUUGGGAGCAUUAUGUCAAGUUCAUAAUUUGUAUUAAGCAAUUAUGAAUUUACUAGUUAUUAUCAGUUAUUCUAUGGCUUAUGAAACUAUUUGUGUUAUGUAUUGGAGAUAUUUAUGAUUAUUGUCUAUAUUAUUUUAAAAUAUAGUUCAUGUCUAUAAAUGUAGUUUUUCCUAUAUGUCUUAUGAGUCGAGUUAAGAUCUGUUAUCCCCCUUCCGGUUCUCUUACAAUCAUUGAGUUUGACAACAUUGUUAGGGAAACACUCUGAGUAUAUACACAAACAAAUAUGUCCUAAAACCCAAGUUAUUUCUUUCUUUAUUUAGAACUCAGCUUGUUUAAUUCUUGAGUCCAACACAUUACUAGAGAAGGAAAAUUAUUUAAGUGGUGGUGAUGGAGAUCACUAUAACAACUCCCAGUCCUAUGUUAAACAAGGCUGAUUGAAGAUUAUAUGCAAAUUUUGAAAUGUUGUUUGCCCAAUAGCUAGAAAUACCAGAAUACAAGGGUUUGGAGUAUUUUAUGAACGGGAUUAAUAAUGUUACUACGAGAAAGUUGUGAACUUGCAACCAAAAGAUGUACCAAAGGAAAUUGGUCUUUCAAACUCGACAUAAAUUGAAUUGUAUGGAGAAACAAUGGGUUUUGAGUCAAAGAGAACAAUAUGUAGAAUCUUUCCCUAAUGCCUGGCAAACAGGUGAGUUUGUGACAACUAAACUCGGAAUGUUAGGAAGAGAAAGGGAAGAUGUUGGGUCAGUCUGGUUUUCACCCUAACCCUAAUCAAUUGGGUGAUAGUCGAGCAAGGGUGCAGAAUUCUAAAACAUUAGCAUCAGUUGGGCAACCCAAUACCAAUUCUGAAAGAAGUAAUUAACAAACUUCUGAGUUCAGAAACAGAGGUGCUAGAAACUUAUCAUACCAGGAGUAUGUGAGGAGAAGAGAGAAAAGUUCACUGUUCUCACUGUAACAAACAAUUUGGCCAUUCCAUAGGUGUCGUAAAAAGAAGUAAAAAUGCUUAUUCAAGAGCAGCAUGAGGGGGAGUUUUUGGGAAAUCAAGGGCGUGAGGGUGCGUCGGAGUGUCAAUCGCCACAAUCUUUGUGCAUGGCGGUCGCCUGAUCGAGACAAUCUGAACAAUGGUGUCGUCGGUUCAAACAGCGAUGACAACUGCACAACGGUGGCUCGAAAAAAAAAGUCACUGGUGAACAAUGGGUUCACCAGGAUUUACCUAACUCUAGAUACCAUGCGAAAAUAAAGUAAAAAGAGGUAUAGGAUUAAUCCCUUGUGUAUAAUGAACACAUAGGAUUAUGUAUUUAUAGAUAAGAAACAUACAAAAGAUAUGGGCUAAGCCCAUUACAUCUAACAUAUGUAAUGAUGACUAUGGUUCAGAUAUUAAUGACUAAAAAUAUACUUCUUUUGCUUGUUCAUUUCAUUCCUUAGGCCUCCCAACCUGAUGUCACUUAUUGGUGGUCCAAGAAAUAAACCUUGGUUACCAAAUGCAUUACUGAAGCAGAAUAAAGGAGUCUUGUUACUUCAGCCUCGGAGAAUCAAUGGGUACAGUCUCAACUGAAACAACUACAGGUUGUUUGCUCCACACCUACAAUAUACCUUGACAAUCAAAGCAUUGUUGCUUUGAGUUGAAGCCUUGUGUUGCACCAUUAAACAAAAUACAUGGAAGUGAACAUCUUUUUGUCAAAGAAGAAGGCUAUAGAUCAUUCCCACAUAGUUGCUCGUGUUGCUCAAGAUCAAAUUGCAAACAUUUCACCAAGCCUCUCUCUAAACUCAGAUCUAUAACUCAGACAAACUCAAGUUCUCAAACAUCACCAAUCACCCUGAGUUAUAGGGGACAUGCUAAAGCAUAUUGUAUACGAUUAGUUAGUUGUCACCUAAAUUUGGUUAUAAUUCAGUUGUACCUAACCAUCCUUUGGUUGUUAGAUAUAACCAACUAAAGUCAUCCAUAAAUUGUGAUCAAUUGUACUUUACAACAAAGAUUAUCGAUAGCUUGUUUUCUUUGUUUUCUCUAAAUUAUCUCUAUGGCAUACCAAUCUAAAAAAUUUAAUGUUAAUUUCGAAUUAGGUAGUUAAACAUUAUGAUAUCUAAUAAUUAUACACAAAUUGUGUGACAGGCUUGUGAAAGGAAAUUAAAGUGCCAAAUUGUUAUUCCUUGCCUCUUGGGAGCAGGAAACACCUACGUUAGGGGGAAACCCCUAGUUUGUACACAAAUAUGUCCUAAAGACUAAUAUAAUUUUAUCUUUAUUGAGAAUUUAGUGUGCUAAAUUCCGUGAGCCUAACACAGUACUAGUGUGUGUUUUUUAAAUUCUCUCCACAUUGUGUUUGGCUUCACUCUUUCCACUCCAACAGAAUCUGGAAAAUCCAAUCUAAGAAGCAUGUUUACCUUAUCAAAAGGACCAUUGAACAUCAGAUGAAAUGGUGGGCGAUAAAGUGAAGCAAGGUUGUCCCGAGAAGUCUCUGCUGUAGAAGCAGCACCUUGCUCUGGCUCCCAAACUCCUGGAUUUCUCAUUUCCUCUUCAAAGUUACGAAAUGCAACUAGGGUGCUUGGUUCUUGUGAACGAUGCCCAACCCUUGAUGCUCUGCAUAAACAUGACAAAAAACAACAUAAAUACAUAGUUUGAAUGUCAAAGCAACAUAUAUACUAUAGCACAAGAAAGUAGACUUAUAAAACUCAAUGAGCCAAACUAAAAAAUACGCAAAUAUUUCUUAAAGAUAAGACAAGUAAUAAAACAACAUUAAUUGAAUUCAGGCUACAAUAUCAAGGACUAAAAAGUAAAAACAACAUUAAUCCUUUAUGAUACAUCUCAAAUACCAUAAAAAAAAAUUGUCGGCAUUAUACUUCUUGGUGGGUAGUCAUCAAACAGACACGCCAAGACACGCCAUAUUCAAAAAGUUAAACCUUCCAGUUAUGUAUGGAUAUCAAGACUGUCUAUCUAGAUUCAACAAUUGAUUCUUCUUUCACCUAAUUUUGUUUCACAACUCAAAGGCACACAUAAACAGCUUGCAGAUUAUACAAAUAUAUAAUCCAGAGAAUAAAAAACACCGAAUAAUAUGCAUCUCUGACAAAACAAAAGAACAAAUGAGGAAAAAAAAACAUACCCAUACAGCAUUGCAUCGUCAUAGAGAGUUUCCCUUAUUACAGGCAAGGGAGGGCGCACUUCAUCUGCCUCGUUGAGUCCAACACUUUCACUCGCCGUUGCGUCCUUCCUCGGUUCACUGAAACAACAAGUACAAGUUAGAGAGAAAGCAACCCACAAAAAUCACUUACAAAUAGCACAGGAAUCGGAGUACAACCUCGGAGGUUGGUCAGUCCAGGAAUCAACAUUUUCCAAAGGUGGGGUGUGCAAAGUUGGAGGCGGCACUGCCCCACUUUCACUACCUAUCAAAAACAACUGGAGGGCCUCCUCAAGCUUCCAACUGGUAGCCUGUUACAACAUCAAUCACAACAACAACCCUAAUAUUCCGUAGAUCUGUUAACAAAUAACAAUAGUCUACACUUCUCUCUUGAUUAAAAUUCACUCCCCGCCCCUAUGAGUGGUAGGAAGUUUCAAGAUUACACAAUAAUGAGUGUAGAAAGAUGUGAAAUUGGGGAAUUUGGGAGAGAGCGAAACCUGGAGGAACUGGCGCGCAGUUUCGGCAGUCUGGCCCUGAGCGACCUCAAGAAACGAAGAAACCAUGCUCUGCUGCUCGUUCGUGGACAGCACUCCUUCCAUUGAUUCCGAUCGAGAAGGGAUUAGGGUUCGUUCCAAUCCAGAGGAAGAAGAUGAAGAAGAAUAUGAGUACUCAUUAACCAACUAACACACUCUUCUCUGUAAUCUUUAAUGUUUUUGUGAAAUAAUAAUAACAAUAAUAAAUUAUUAUUAUUAGAAUGUUUCUCUUCCUAACUUUUACAUAUUAUUAUUAUAUUGGCAAAUAUAAUUUUAAAAAAUAUUUUUAACAAUAAUUUAUCACAUGUUAAUCUAUUUCACUGUAUAAAGAUAACUUUUUUUAAUGUUAUUUUUUAAUUUAAUUAAUAAAAUGAAUAAUUGAUUUUUUAUUUUAAAAUAAUUAAAUAACUUUUUUUAAAUAACGGGUAUAUAAUUUUUAAUAUCAUUUUUACAAAAUUAUAUAUAUAUAUUAAAUUCUAUUAUUUUUUUAAUUAAUUAUUUAUAAAAAUAAUAAAACUAUAUAGAUUAUAAAGCUAUGCAUUUUUAAUAUAAUCAAAAUGUAAAUAUACGUGUGUAAAAAUACUUGUGUUUUAACUAGUACUUAUUAAUAAUAUUUAUUUAAUUAUAAUAAGAAACAGUAUCAUAAAUAUUAUAUAUACGAAUUAAAUCAAUCAAUUAAAUUAUUAAAUUUUGAAUAAUUUCGAUAAUUUACUACCAAAUUUCUUAUUAAAAUUUGACUAAAAACAUCUACAAAAUAUUUUGCUAAGGUGUGGUUGAGUUUAGUUCUUAAGGACUUAUUUGUGUUGAUUAAGUUUGUGAUGCUAUAAUAGAAUCUUCAUCUUAAGCAUAAAAAAACUAAUAUAGCACAUAUUAUAUAAAAAAGAAUAGAAGAAAAAUGUAAAAUAAAACAUGAAACUUGCUUAAAUUGAAAUCUUUUAAGUUCAAAAGAGAUCCAAAACACAUGACUUAAUUCUCGUGCAAAAUUUAUGAUUCUAGUUAUCUACUUUCAAAGUAUAACAAUCAUGUUGGGUAAAUAAAUUAUUUUGAAAAAUAUUGAACCAAACAAUGGGAGACUUUUUCAACCUUUUGAUAUACACAAAACUACAACACAAAUAACUUAAUUAUCUUUUAUUAUAUUUCUCCAAUUGAUAUUCGACUAAACAACAUCACAAUACUUGAAACCCCAAGUGAUCAUUAGUCGAUUAUCUGUAAGCUCUUUCCACUAAGAAAUUAGAGAUUAACACUUGGUUCACGUCUUUUAGUGAGACAAUAUUGAAAUUUAAUAAAAACAACAUUGAUUUUCAACCUUGCUCUUUACUUUUUGUUAGGGAAAAAAUACAACAAAUGAUGGAUAUAUGUGAACCUUAACAAUGAACAGACAAUAAAAAUAAUAUGAGUGAUACAGUCGAUGUUAUAUGGAAAGAUGCGACAAAUAAAUCAUUUUAUGCCCCAUCAAAUUAAAGGAUAUUGCAUGUCAUACUCUCCUGUAAUAGGGAAAGGUUGAUCAAAAGGGAUUAAGAUCUAUUAAUGAGUUGUCACCAUUAAUCAUUUAGAUUUGGUCUUACCUCUAAUUAUUAUUAUACUAUUAAGUUUAUAUAUCCAUUUUUACUUUCAUAAUUAUUAGCACAAAUCGUUUAAUGACAAGUAUAUCAAUCGCACGAUAGUAAGUAGUAAGUAAUUAUCGUUCUCCUAAAGGACUUGUGAAAUGCACGACAAUAAUUACAACUCAUAACUAAUUUAGACUAAAGAAUAUUUCCAUACAUUGUUUUGAUGUUAACAAAAUUAAAACCGUGCAUAAAUAAUUAAAACCUUUUUUGGGAUUUUAUCAAACCACUUAAAAUGUAUAUGAAAUUAGAUGUGAUGUGUUAUUGCUAGGGUUAGACUUCAUUGAACCUCACUCUCAUGCACAUAAUCACUCGACUUUUUUCCAAUUUAAUACUAUAGUCAAUCCAUGAGUUUUCUCAAACUCAAUUUUCUUAGUAAAAUGAGUUUUAAGUUUCCUUGUUAAGAGUCAGAUCCUUAAGCAUUUAAUAAACAAUUUUGCUUUCACAAUAAGGAUUUAAGACAACUAAGGAGUUAAGUUUCAUUUAUAGAUACAAGCUUUAGUAGGUAUUUUACUUUGGUUAUAAAUUACAAACGAUGUUUUUCAAUACCCAAUGAAUCAAAUAUCAAGUUAUGGGUGAUAAAAUCACAACAAGCAUCAAGCGUAAAAGUUGAGUGUUAUCAUUAUGUCUUUAGUAAUAAAAACAAUUAAUUAUGUUUAGCUUGGAAAAUUGUUACUGUUAGAGCAAAAAUCCAACACCAUGUAGUUUUGAUUAAGUAUUUAAAGUAAUAAAGCAUGAAGUUGUGUUUGAUAUGACGAAAAUCAAACCAUACAAGUAAAUCAUUUAUCAAAUGAUAAGAGCACCGUGACUAACCACAAUGUUAGGUAGUUGAAGAUUAAAGUUUAGACGAUGACUACAUUUAAAAGACCAAGUUGGCAUCCUUCUGACCUAUCAUAUAUUUACGAGUCAAUCCGAUUCCCAUAUCUCCUUGGAUCUCCCGUUAAGUUGUUAGGAGUCCCUUUAGUUGAAUCAUUAUGAGUCUCAGUAAAAGUUGAUUAACCUAACUCUCAAUCAACAAUUUAAUGUUUCCUUUUACUUGUAGUAGCUCAUGCUUUGAUUCACCCUAACCAAUGAUGAGUUUCUAUUAAGAUUGGAGUCUUUCAUUCCUUGUCGCUUCAAUCCAAAUUGAACUCGUCCCAACAACGAAGACCUUCCUAUUGUAAGGUGAUACUCUGCCCUUCCCUUAAAAUCCACUUUGAGUUUUAGGGGUAAAGGAGUAACUAAUCUAACUUAUUGAGUUGUCAAUAUAUUGAACAAUUAACAUUUGAGCGAGCCACCUUGUCUCACUUUGGGAUGAGAGGGAAGGUUGGUUUGACUUAAAUCCCAAACAUUUUCUUUCAUCUUACAUUGUUUUAUGAUGUAAUAAGAUAGAUUUGUUAUUAUUAUUAUGCUAACUUGCUUAGUCCCACUGGGAAAACCUUUGUUCCACUCGUAACUUUAGAAUCCACUCAUUUUUCCUAGUUUCUGAAAGCCCUUGUAUCUUGGCUUACUCUUAUUUCUCAACUUGAGUUUUGAGUUUAGCGACUUUUAUCAUUAACAAAAAUUUGCGCUAAUAAGACAGGUGGGGAGUGUAUGCCUUUUUCAUAAAAUAUAAAGCUCUUUAUACUUUAACGAAUAAAUAACAUCAAAUUCAUAGAAUAAAUGGUCAAGAAACUAAUAGAGAGAGAAAUGUCCUUUUCAUUAUUGGUGGACAUUUCGUUAAAUUGAACUGCUCAUAGAGCUUUUGAUUGAGUUGUUUAUGUUUUAGAAUUCCAUGGAUAAUUAGGGGUUUAAGUUCAAAGGUUACAAAAUGUAGUGUUUUUUUUAAGGGUGAUCAAAGAAACCAAAACUUUUUGCUACUUUCUUUUCUAUUUCUAUUUCAUAGCGAAAUAUUUCCUUUGUAUCGAAAUCUUAACAAAAAUUUUAAAAAAACAAUUGAAUUGAGAACACAAAAUAUUACUCUAAUCACACAUUCUCACAUCUCUCUACAUAACAUAUUACAAUUAUCUUUUUCUUUAACGUUAAAUUAUUUUGUUAAUUAUAUUUUAAAGAAUAUUUUUCUUAUAACUUCUUAAUUAUAAUAUUUAAUAAUGACUCGUAUUAUUUUAAAAGUUUUUAAAAUGCAACACAGACAUGUGUUUUCAUAAUUAAAAUGUACUCAAUAAUUAAUGGUUAUAAAAUUACAUAUUGUUGGAGAUCCCACAUCGACUAGAGAUUAGAGCCUUUCAUCGUAUAUAAGUGGGUGCAAACCUUAACCUCAUGAGCCGGUUUUAUGGGGUUGAGUUAGGCUAAAGUCCAUUUCGUAUCACAUAUAUAAUAUAAUUUAUAAUUUAUAAUUAUACAUAAAAGAGACUUUCUUUGCGUAAAUAUUUUUCUUUUCUAUAUUAGUCUAAAAUCAAAAUUUUUUUUGGUUUUCUUUUAUUUCUAUCACAAUUAUCUCACACUCGAUAUCAUUUCAAAUUUCUUAAAUGGUAAAUUUAAAUAUAUGAACAAAAUUAUUUUUAAACAAAACAACAUAAGAAAUAGUUUUUAUUUUUUACUUAUUUUUCUUUUUCAAAUUUUCACAUAUCAUUUGAUCUUAAAAUUGAUAAUGCGGGUAGGUUGGAUAGGACAACUCGUGGUCUGAUAGGAAAAAACACUAGAUAAACUUACUAUUUUAACAUAUUAACUUGUUUAGGUUCAUCCCAUAUAACUAGCGAUCCAUACAAACUAAGUACGAGAUGAAGUUGAUCAACCCCGCAUAACCUCAUAUCUUAAAAUUUUAUUUCAGUACCUAAAAAUAACACGGGGAGUGCAACCAACCUUAAACAUAAUUUCUCUUACAUAUAGUUUUCUUAACCACAAAUUUUUUUGCAUGAGUUAUUGAGAAAAUGAGUCAAAAUAAUCAAAUUAUUAAAUUAUAUAUUUUUUAUAAUUAAUAAAAUUUCAUUAAAAUACAUUUAUAUAUAUAUAUAAUUUUUUCAAAAAUAUUUUUCUUUUGUUAAUGAAUGCGGAAUAAACCUAUAAAAUCAAACAAUUAGUAGCCAAAUAUUAAAUAGGCUAGCUUCCAUUAUCAUUCCUAUUUAAUAUGUAUAAAAUAAGAUCACUUUUAUUUUAUUUUAUUUUAUCUUAUCCUCAUUCUAACUAAGGUGAUUCUGCCACAUAAAUCCAAUUUAUUUAGUACACCUUUCAACAGCGACAACCCAUUCUUCAAAUAUAAUUUUAAUAUCAGUGUAUUUUUUAAUAUUUUUAUAGGAAUUUGAAG